GGGGGGGGGGGUGGGGACGGGGGUGUGAAAUAGGAUGUCAGCCUUGAAGAAGGCACUACCUGGCAUUCUGAAGAAGCAUUGCUGUAUGUUACCUGAAAAAAAUGCAGAAAUCCCAAACUAUGCAAAUCUGCUCUCUGUAGUUCAACGCUGCUGACUCUGCAUUCAUUAUCUGGUGCAGAUUUUGUGACGUGUGGUUAAGAGCACAGCUAGGACAUAACAGCCUGGCAAGGGGGAAAAAAUAAAUUGGUAUCUGUUCAACUUAAUAAAAUACCUAAAGAAUUCA